rnacentral:rRNA from 1 species
GACGAACGCUGGCGGCGUGCCUAAUACAUGCAAGUUGAGCGAUGAAGAUUGGUGCUUGCACCAAUUUGAAGAGCAGCGAACGGGUGAGUAACGCGUGGGGAAUCUGCCUUUGAGCGGGGGACAACAUUUGGAAACGAAUGCUACUACCGCAUAACAACUUUAAACAUAAGUUUUAAGUUUGAAAGAUGCAAUUGCAUCACUCAAAGAUGAUCCCGCGUUGUAUUAGCUAGUUGGUGAGGUAAAGGCUCACCAAGGCGAUGAUACAUAGCCGACCUGAGAGGGCGAUCGGCCACAUUGGGACUGAGACACGGCCCAAACUCCUACGGGAGGCAGCAGUAGGGAAUCUUCGGCAAUGGACGAAAGUCUGACCGAGCAACGCCGCGUGAGUGAAGAAGGUUUUCGGAUCGUAAAACUCUGUUGGUAGAGAAGAACGUUGGUGAGAGUGGAAAGCUCAUCAAGUGACGGUAACUACCCAGAAAGGGACGGCUAACUACGUG